AUGGUGGGAAGCUCAAGUUCAAGUAAUUGUUCAUCAGGAAAACUUUUUACUUGGGGAGAUGGUGAUAAAGGUAGACUAGGGCAUGGUGACAAGGAGUCGAAACUUGUACCUACCUGUGUUGCAGCUCUUGUCGAACCAAACUUUUGCCAAGUUGCUUGUGGACACAGCUUGACAGUUGCAUUGACAACUUCUGGUCAUGUGUAUACAAUGGGAAGUCCUGUGUAUGGCCAAUUAGGUCAUCACCAAGCUGAUGGGAAGUUACCCCGUCGUGUUGAAGGCAAGCUGGCAAAGAGUUUUGUGGAGGAGAUCGCCUGUGGAGCAUAUCAUGUUGCUG
rnacentral:misc_RNA from 1 species